CACUUAGACCUAUCCGCCGCCUCUAUUCAACCCUCGGUGAACAUAGCCAUAACACCCAAAGGCUCACCUUCACCAAAUGAACCAACACCGACAACACCAUGAACAACAAAACUCCACCUGAAAGCAAACCAGAGAUGAAGCAAAAGGGACGAAACCCAAUGGACACAGAGAAUCCAUACCCAUGGCCGAAGAGGCUACCACCCUCAACUGCCCACCAAUGGAGGAGAGACGUCGACCACCAAACAAAACCCACAACGCCACUAACCACCACGAACAAUCCACAAGAGCCAAACGACUCCUUGGAUUGCCUCCACAAGAGAAGCCCGUCGGAUCAAUCACACCAUCACCAGAGCUGGAGAAAAAACAGGUAGAGAGACCCGAGAAGAGAAGAUCUGCCACACCGAAAACUCACCGUUGUGCCCAAAUCAAAGAAGAACGACGAUGUCUGAAGAAACAUGGCGAUGCACCACCAAUUUAUCAGAUCUGGAAGAUGGUCCCGUCGAUAGGAGCCGCACAACCGCUACAGUCGUCUCAUCAAAGCCACUGCCUUAAACGGAGAGAGACACGCCGCACGUCCUUUGCUCCGUGCGUGACCACUCGCCGCAUACCACCAACAAGAGACGAAGAGCAAGCCAGAUUUGAACACCACCGGAGCUUCAAAGGAGAGGCAGAGGAGAUAAGAGAGAGGAAAGGAGAAGAGGGAGAAGCCCUCUCCGGCCACCGGUGAGAAGCACCGUGACCGGAGAGGCACAGAUCUAGAUUUGGUUUUGGUUUACUGUAGCGUCGUUCUCGCUUAAUCAAUCGCCGCGCGUGAUCUUCUUUAAAUACUUGAGUGUAUAUAUGUUCCGCGUUAAGCAAACUUCUCACUCUGUUUAUCAGAUGUCAUCCAUAGAAAUUGUCUAACAAAUUGGAUGAUGUAAUCAUCAUCAUCAUCAUCAUCAUGAAUCGUGAUAACUACGAGAAUAUACUAAUUGUCGGAUCAGCAAUUAUCUAUAUUGAACCCAUUAAAAGAUUAUAAAUGUCUGUAUACAAAGAAGUCGAAGACGAUAAAUCAUAUAUAUAUAUUCUGUACACAUAGGUAUUUGCUAUAACGUUAGAAGGAUUAUAAAAUUCUAUAUUUGAAACACUUGAUUGACUUUCUAGAGCACACACAAAACUACUGUUAAAACAAAGAAAACAAAAAUAAGAAUGCAAACUUUCUUAAUACGAUAAACAGGAGCAAAUGUUUUUAUUUGUUAAACUUGAUUUAGUUCACGUUCUUAGAUAAAUGUGUUAGAAUUUGAGAAGUUUUAUUUCUGUUUUGUACUUGUCUUCUUAAAAUUAGAUAUAGGGUUCAAAAAAAAAACUUGCAUGUUUAUUCUAUCAUUUAGUUUAUACACAUACAUUUUAAACUAUAAAUUAGGAUUCUAAUAUGACAACAACACUUUUAAAACAAACCACUAAGUUUCAACCACAAUUUGGAACUAAUAAUUAAAAAAAUAAUUAAGAAAGUUGAUAGAGAAAUAUCAAUGGCAAAAAAAAGAGAAACUACAACACUCCCUAAAACCCAAAACAUUAAAUUUCAAUAUAUCAUGUAUAUGAUUACAAAUUUAACAAAUUUCAUAAAAAAAACAAAGAAAUAUGUAACCAGUAGUUUAAACAAUAAUGGUGGUAAUAGUCAAUUGGUUAAACCUAUUUAACUCCACAUUUUCUACUGGAGUUUGACUUUAUUAAAUCACGUUAUUUGGAUAAUAGUUAGGGAUUAUCUAUAGAUCAGAUCUUAUUAAUGAAAAUAUGUCAAACAAAAAUAAUAAUAAAUUUGUUAUCUAAAUAAAACUUUUAAUAUACUUUACCACGUUAUAAACACUUAAAAUAAAAUAACAAUUAACAGCAAUUUACAUGUAGAUUUCUGCAUUAGUUUUUUCAUUUUUUUCUAGUUUGUUCAAAACCUCAAAUAUCAAGAUUGACUCAGACCCGAACAAAAGGUCCGUAGAACCUAAACAAAUUUCUAAAACUAGCCAACCAAUGAAGUGCAUCUACUUUUUUUUUAUGAAAAAUAAUUAUAUUGAAGUAUUUUAUUUAUCUGAUAAAUAAAUAAUGAUAUAUAGUUUAUCGGUGAGCAGAUAAGGAUCGUGUAUUUUCAAGUAUUAUAUUAAUUAAUAAAUUAUCGCCCAUCUUCUAUUGUUUUGUAUUUUCAUUUGAAAAGAAAGCAGGGCUGGCUUAUCAAUAUAUACAGUCUCUUUCUUUUAGUUUACUAAAAUCAUUUCAGAUAAGACCCACACAAAAGUAAUAUCAAAUGGAAUUUUGCUUUCAACAUGGAUAAUUUUCUUUAAUAAUAAAAUUGUCAACCAUGUUAAGCGUAAUCUCUAAAUCCCCAAAAUUAAAAACACUAAAAAUAGUCGGUCAUUGCUCCACGUUUAACCUGUCCAAUUCCAAAAGAACUUCGUGUUUCAUUGACGAUAUAGUUUACGUACGUAUGAUUCUUUCUAAAUGAGGUAUUUUUGUCCCAUUAGCAAUUUAAAAUUUAAAAUGGUUGUGUAACUUUUUGAAAUGCUUAGUAGUUAAAACCGAACUAAGAAGAAAUAAUGAUCGGAACGUGUUUAUGUCAGCUAAUGCAUUACCCACUGACAUUAACUGAUCCAGUUUACUGAUUUUAGACAAUCAUACUCUAUUUUUACUGGAGUUGCAGAAAAAGGGACUUACAAAACGAUGAAUUAAAUUUGGACAAGUAUAUAUACAUAAUUAGAAGGUUAUAGAAUCUAGUUUUCGUAGGAUAUUUCUUGAAUUAUCCUACGAGUGUGACAACUAAAUGCACAACAAAACAACAAUUUAAAUGCUAAAAAGCAAAAAUAGUAAUUACUGGUCACCUAUUAAGGAACAACACCAACACCUAUUUAGCUGUUAUGUCCUAAUAAAAAUAAAAUAAAAUAAAAACAAUAAACCAAAAAAGUAAAAAAUAAAAAUGUUUGACUAAAAUUCUCUUUCUUUUCCGAUUCGUCAUUCGAUGAAUCUUCCUUUCUUAUACAAUUUGGAUAAUCUUUUCUAAUGUAAAAAUUCGAGAUUUUUUUUUAUAAUGUUAAAUCUAUAAAUAAGAGCAACCUAAAACGAACAACUUCUCCCACUUUCCUUAUUUUCGAUCUUAUCCUUAUCUUCUUCCUUGUUCUAUUUCUCUUCUAACUAAUCUCUUCUCUUCUCUUAAAAUCAAACGUAAUCAUAAAUAAAGAUCUUCUUGUUUAAUUUCUCUUGAUCCUCGCAAAAUCACAGAUUCUUGAAAUUCUUUUUUCUUGUCUUGAAAUUCUUGAGUUCUUGAGUUAUGAAAAGACAAUGGACAGAGUUAUGAAAUGAUAAAUCUCAACCAAUUCCUUGUUUAUCAUUCUAUAUCAGUUGUGAUUCUUCAUUGGUUUUACGUUAUCUCUUGAACAAAAAAACAUGGCAAACGCAGAGAAGACAAGUUCAGGUUCCGACAUAGAUGAGAAGAAAAGAAAACGCAAGUUAUCAAACCGCGAAUCUGCAAGGAGGUCGCGUUUGAAGAAACAGAAGUUAAUGGAAGACACGAUUCAUGAGAUCUCCAGUCUUGAACGACGAAUCAAAGAGAACAGUGAGAGAUGUCGAGCUGUAAAACAGAGGCUUGACUCGGUCGAAACGGAGAACGCGGGUCUUAGAUCGGAGAAGAUUUGGCUCUCGAGUUACGUUAGCGAUUUAGAGAAUAUGAUUGCUACGACGAGUUUAACGCUGACGCAGAGUGGUGGUGGCGAUUGUGUCGACGAUCAGAACGCAAACGCGGGAAUAGCGGUUGGAGAUUGUAGACGUACACCGUGGAAAUUGAGUUGUGGUUCUCUACAACCAAUGGCGUCCUUUAAGACAUGAGAUUUGUGUAUUAGUGUGUGUUUUACUUUGGUCAUUUUAUAGUUUUUGUAAUCUUUUUAUAUCGAAUUGUUUCUUCUCAUUACUUUCUGAAUUCUGAUACAAUUGCAUAUCUUAUUGUUUUCAACAUUUUCAUUUAACGUUAUAUGAUUUUCGGUGGUUAACCCGAAAGAAAAAAAAAAAGUUUUUUUGGUACCUUGCAUGUAAAUGGCAGAACUGAUGAAGUAAUCAAAAUUGAAGCAAAAAGUGGGGAAGUAGUAUAUGUUCUGGUCAUAAUUGAGUAUUACCGAUAAAAAUUGCUUUGGUAACACGAUAACAAUUUUUUGUGUCAAAUUUUUCAAUUUUAUGAAUAAUUCAAAAUAAUAUAGGGCUUGAAUGGUAUGUGUCUUAUUUGCAUGUUCAUGUGUUUCAAAACGUGAUUUUGCCGAGUGUAUACCAUUCACAAUAAUAACCACGGAGUGAUAAACCGUGAAAAUUAAUAAGCUAUUUUCCAAUCUAUUUCGCAUGUGUUAAAUGUAUAACUAACUAGUUUAGACAAAGUCAUUUAUUAAGUAGCUUUUUGGCGUGUUAAGUUUAUUCCGUUUUGAAUUUUGUCGUCCUGGUGAUUCCGCUAUUGUAUUGUUCAGUUAUUCAACUAAUGUACCAGUCAAGUCUUUACCCCUUAGUUUAGAGUUUUCUCGUUUUGAUGGGUUUGAUUGGUAUGUGAGAUGGAUAGCUGAACAAUAGAAUAACUAAAUAAUGGUUAGCUGAAUGAAAUGAACUAAAGAAAGUUUAUGUAGAAUGAUUAUAAAUUGCUAAAAAAAACUAGUUAUUGUAGAUUAAUCACGUUUCUUAGUUAUAAUUUUUAAUACGCUAGUGCUAUAUAAUGGAAUCAUUUUUUUAAACAUGAAAACGUUAAAACUUGAUAAAAUUUUGAAAGGUAAAAAUAGCGGAAUCACGUUUUAAAAACGUGACCACGUGAACUGGUAUACGGUAAACCAUUCAAGCCCAUAGAUUAAUGAAAAUGUGAUAAUUAUAAGAUUUUUCUAUCUUUUUCAACAUGGAGUAUUCUAAACGCGUAGGAGUUUAAUUGAUUUUAAGUGAUUUAUUUGUCUAUAAAUGUUAUAUAUAUAUUCGAUGUAUAGAACAAUAGAUGAACUAUCAUAAACCAUAAAAUUCAAUGAUUUCAAAUAUGAUCGAGGUGAUUUUUUAGCUCUAGUGAUAUGUCUAUCAAUUUCAAGAAAAAUCGCCUCCUUAAACUGAAACAAUUCGUAGAGCAUAUCCGUUCUUUGUAGGAGUAUGAAAUAUGCAACCACAAGUCCACAGCAAUGGUCAGGAAUGAAAUAUGCGACCACAAGUCCACAGCAAUGGUCAGGAAACCUCACAACGGCAUAAGUUUAUCUUCCCGAUAAUUCUUUUCGCUCAGAAAAUAGACCAUAUGACAAGUCACAAAACAAAAAGUCCGUAAGACAUAGUCUUAGUAUGAUAACGUUCUAGAUCAAGCAAGAGAAAGUGACAUAAGUAUGCAUAUAUUCGUGUAGAGCUCAUCUAUAUAUGCACAAUAAAUCUUUAUCACUUUACUUCAAUAUAUACGAACAUAAGUUUUAUUGCACAAUUGAUUAACCACUUUCACUUCCAUAAGAAAGUAUAAGCCAAAAAAAGAGUCCUCCUCUCUUUCUAUCAUUCUCUCCAAGUAUUCAUUAGUCAUGUUUCUUUACAUUUAUUUAUGUUUGUGAUUAGGAAGAAAUUAUAACACGUUCUAACUUUUAAAAUACUUCAAAAACACAUUAAACAAUGUUUUGAUGAAUGCGUGAUUCACAAUCUUCAAAAAAUAUUGCUGAAUCUUGAAGACAAAACAGCCUAUUCAUUAACACCACCAGCAAGGACGACAUGUUAACGACCAAAAUUGCAAUAAAAUAAAACAAAAGAUGUUACAAAAACAAAUUUGUAAUAAAAAAAAACUGUUAGGUGUUUCUCUUUGUCAAUGUAAGAUAGAGAAAUCAAUUUUGGGUAGAAAGAAGUUGUGAACUAACUACCUACCAAUAAGCCACAUGACUGUGAGAAGCUUUUGUUUCCCUCCCAUUUCUCUAUAUUAAUGGUGCUUCCUCUCUAAACCAUUCCUCUCUCUUUCUCUCUACCACCAUUUAUUCUCUCCUUAAUCACUGACUCGACUCGGGUCGUGACCAGGUCUGUUCUCUUCUAACAAUUCGUAACUUUUUUUCUUAGAUCUGUCUUGAUUCCGAUUCGUGUUUUUGAUACCAAAGUUUCGAUAUUUACGAGGAGGGUUGCGUAAAAAUCGGAACUUUUUUUCUUUCUCAAUCCCAGAUUCGUUAAUGGAGUAAUGAGAUCUGUUUGUUAGUGAUUAUCGAAUUAGUGUAAUGUUGCCUAAUUUCGAAUUCGACAUUGAGAUAGGAACAAUUUAUAGCUUGUGGAUCUGAUCAUUGUCUCUCUUUUGUUUGUUGUGAUUCUCAGUUUUUUCUAUCUGAGCUAUGGCAACGGGACAGCUUUUUUCUCGUACCACACAAGCUUUGUUCUACAACUAUAAGCAGCUUCCUGUUCAACGAAUGCUCGAUUUCGACUUUCUCUGUGGUAACAUAACAAUUUACAUUGUCUAGUUUUCAGUUGGUUUGGAUCAAGUUUUGAUGUUAAAGAUGAUUUGCUUUUACAGGACGUGAAACGCCUUCUGUUGCUGGAAUCAUAAAUCCUGGUUCUGAAGGUUUUCAAAAGCUCUUUUUCGGGCAGGAGGAAAUCGCUAUCCCUGUUCAUGCCGCGUAAGUUUUGAGAAUGUCAUGUGAGUUCUUGAGAGGAACUAACUAUGUGAAAAUUUUGUUUUAACUUGUUUUCUGUUAUACAGCAUUGAGGCAGCUUGUGCUGCGCAUCCAACAGCGGAUGUAUUCAUCAACUUUGCAUCUUUUAGGAGGUUUGUUAUGAGAAUUUCAUGGAAUAAACUUAGCAUUGCCUCUUUGUGAUAGUUUUGUUGAUGUUUUCAUUCUUUCUUCUGUUUUAUAGUGCUGCUGCUUCAUCCAUGGCUGCUUUGAAGCAGCCGACUAUUAAAGUUGUGGCAAUUAUAGCUGAAGGUGUUCCAGAAUCAGACACUAAGCAGCUGAUUGCGUAUGCUCGUGCAAACAAUAAGGUGUGUUUUGUGUGAUGAUUAGCUUCAGUUAACCGUAUGGUGAACUUAAUUUGUGAGACUGAUUGAAUUGGUUCAGGUUGUUAUUGGACCGGCUACUGUUGGAGGUAUUCAAGCUGGAGCCUUUAAGAUUGGUGAUACUGCAGGAACAAUUGAUAACAUUAUCCAGUGCAAGCUAUACAGACCUGGAUCUGUUGGUUUUGUCUCCAAAUCUGUAUGUGCUGAUUUUGCAAAAUUUCAUAAUCUGCCUAAAGCUCACUUUGAUGUCUGAGAGUUUUAUUCGUUACUCUUCUUUUCCCGCAGGGUGGAAUGUCUAAUGAAAUGUACAAUACUGUUGCCCGUGUGACUGAUGGGAUCUACGAAGGUGAGUUUUAAUGUAAGAUAAUCUACUAAUGACGUAUUAAGCUGAAGAUUGUUAACACUGUUUUAUAUUUGGGGGAUUGUUAUAGGCAUUGCUAUUGGUGGAGACGUGUUCCCAGGAUCGACUUUAUCUGACCACAUCCUUCGGUUUAACAACAUCCCACAGGUAUAUACCAAUCUUCAAUUGUUUAACCUGCUGCUCGCUGGAACGCGCCUCUGGUGGUGGAGUUUUGAUGUUACAAAUUGAACUUAUAUUCACUCUUUCAAUUCAUUAUGCCUUAAUUCAAGAGCUAUGUUGCAGAUAAAAAUGAUGGUUGUACUUGGAGAGCUUGGAGGAAGAGAUGAAUACUCUCUUGUUGAAGCUUUGAAAGAGGGAAAAGUCAAUAAACCUGUGGUUGCUUGGGUCAGUGGAACUUGUGCACGACUCUUCAAGUCUGAAGUACAGUUUGGUCAUGCAGUAAGUGGCGCGGAAGAACUUUCAAAGCAAUGCCUUUUUUUUAUCUCUUGUACAAAUCAAAAUAGUUCUUGAACAUGUUAUAUAUGAAUAGGGUGCCAAAAGUGGCGGCGAGAUGGAGUCUGCACAAGCCAAGAAUCAAGCUCUCAUAGAUGCUGGAGCUAUUGUUCCCACUUCAUUUGAAGCUCUAGAAUCUGCAAUCAAAGAGACUUUUGAGAAACUGGUUAGUUUUCCCGUGUUAUUCGCUAGCUGGCAUUGACUUCUGUUGCAAUCUUAUGUGUUCUUUUCAAUUACUCUUAAAAGGUUGAAGAAGGAAAGGUCUCUCCUAUCAAGGAAGUCAUUCCUCCACAAAUCCCUGAGGAUCUCAAUUCUGCAAUUAAGAGUGGGAAAGUCCGGGCUCCUACUCACAUCAUCUCCACCAUAUCUGAUGACAGAGGUAUUGUUAUGGACACUAAACCAUAUUCUAAGGAGUUGAAACACAGAGAAAUUGGCAAAUGAGUUACACAGAACAUAGAUUCAUAUGCCUCUUUAAGCCCAUUUUCUGACACUAAACUACAAAAUUUGUCUUCUCAUAUUAAUCUGCAGGGGAGGAACCAUGCUAUGCUGGUGUUCCAAUGUCUUCCAUCAUCGAACAAGGCUAUGGAGUGGGUGAUGUCAUUUCCCUUCUAUGGUUCAAACGUAGUCUACCUCGUUACUGUACAAAAUUCAUUGAGGUAUCAGUUUCUCUCUUUGCCUUUUUAACCUAUUCUUUCUCACUACAUACAUACUGUUACGUAGUGAAAUUUGACUCUGGUCUGCAACUUUUGAUAAUUCUUCUGAAUUAGAUAUGCAUAAUGCUGUGUGCUGAUCACGGUCCAUGCGUCUCCGGCGCUCACAACACCAUUGUAACAGCAAGAGCAGGCAAAGACCUCGUCUCAAGUCUUGUCUCAGGUCAGUCAACAUUUUUUUUCCCCCACAAAACACAUAA
rnacentral:lncRNA from 1 species